UGGGGAAUUUUCCGCAAUGGGCGAAAGCCUGACGGAGCAAUACCGCGUGAGGGAGGAAGGCUCUUGGGUUGUAAACCUCUUUUCUCAGGGAAGAACAGAAUGACGGUACCUGAGGAAUAAGCAUCGGCUAACUCCGUGCCAGCAGCCGCGGUAAUACGGAGGAUGCAAGCGUUAUCCGGAAUGAUUGGGCGUAAAGGGUCCGCAGGUGGCAUUGUAAGUCUGCUGUUAAAGAGUUUGGCUCAACCAAAUAAGAGCAGUGGAAACUACAAAGCUAGAGUGUGGUCGGGGCAGAGGGAAUUCCUGGUGUAGCGGUGAAAUGCGUAGAUAUCAGGAAGAACACCAGUGGCGAAGGCGCUCUGCUAGGCCGAG
rnacentral:rRNA from 1 species